rnacentral:rRNA from 1 species
GACAGAGGGUGCGAACGUUGUUCGGAAUUACUGGGCGUAAAGCGCAUGUAGGCGGCAACGCAAGUCGGGGGUGAAAGCCUGUGGCUCAACCACAGAAUUGCCUUCGAUACUGUAGAGCUUGAGACCGGAAGAGGUAAGUGGAACUGCGAGUGUAGAGGUGAAAUUCGUAGAUAUUCGCAAGAACACCAGUGGCGAAGGCGGCUUACUGGUCCGGUUCUGACGCUGAGGCGCGAAAGCGCGGGGAGCAAACAGG